UAUUGGUCAAUGGGGGAAACCCUGAACCAGCAACGCCGCGUGAGGGAAGACGGUUUUCGGAUUGUAAACCUCUGUCCUCUGUGAAGAUAAUGACGGUAGCAGAGGAGGAAGCUCCGGCUAACUACGUGCCAGAAGCCGCGGUAAUACGUAGGGAGCAAGCGUUGUCCGGAUUUACGGGGUGUAAAGGGUGCGUAGGCGGCUUUGCAAGUCAGACGUGAAAGCCAUGGGCUUAACCCAUGAACUGCUUUUGAAACUGCAGAGCUUGAGUGGAGUAGAGGUAGGCGGAAUUCCCGGUGUAGCGGUGAAAUGCGUAGAGAUCGGGAGGAACACCAGCGGCGAAGGCGGCCUGCUGGGCUCUAACUGACGCUGAGGCACGAAAGCGUGGGUAGCAAACAGG
rnacentral:rRNA from 1 species